rnacentral:rRNA from 1 species
AUUGAACGCUGGCGGCGUGCUUAACACAUGCAAGUCGUGCGGUAACAGGCGUAGCAAUACGUGCUGACGAGCGGCGAACGGGUGCGUAAUACAUGGGAAUCUGCCUUUUAGUGGGGAAUAACCCGGCGAAAGCCGGGCUAAUGCCGCAUAAGAUCUUCGGAUGAAAGCGGGGGAGUCGUAAGACCUCGCGCUGAUAGAUGAGCCCACUGCCGGAUUAGCAGUUGGUGAGGUAACGGACUCACCAAGGACGACGAUCCGUAGCUGGUCUGAGAGGACGGCCAGCCACACUGGGAC